rnacentral:rRNA from 1 species
UGGGGGACAACUUCCGAAAGGGAGCUAAUACCGCAUACGUCCUACGGGAGAAAGCAGGGGAUCUUCGGACCUUGCGCUAAUAGAUGAGCCUAAGUCGGAUUAGCUAGUUGGUGGGGUAAAGGCCUACCAAGGCGACGAUCUGUAGCGGGUCUGAGAGGAUGAUCCGCCACACUGGGACUGAGACACGGCCCAGACUCCUACGGGAGGCAGCAGUGGGGAAUAUUGGACAAUGGGGGGAACCCUGAUCCAGCCAUGCCGCGUGUGUGAAGAAGGCCUUUUGGUUGUAAAGCACUUUAAGCGAGGAGGAGGCGCUCUAGGAUAAUACCCUAGAUGCGUGGACGUUACUCGCAGAAUAAGCACCGGCUAACUCUGUGCCAGCAGCCGCGGUAAUACAGAGGGUGCGAGCGUUAAUCGGAUUUACUGGGCGUAAAGCGCGCGUAGGUGGCUAAUUAAGUCAAAUGUGAAAUCCCCGAGCUUAACUUGGGAAUUGCAUUCGAUACUGGUUAGCUAGAGUAUGGGAGAGGAUGGUAGAAUUCCAGGUGUAGCGGUGAAAUGCGUAGAGAUCUGGAGGAAUACCGAUGGCGAAGGCAGCCAUCUGGCCUAAUACUGACACUGAGGUGCGAAAGCAUGGGGAGCAAACAGGAUUAGAUACCCUGGUAGUCCAUGCCGUAAACGAUGUCUACUAGCCGUUGGGGCCUUUGAGGCUUUAGUGGCGCAGCUAACGCGAUAAGUAGACCGCCUGGGGAGUACGGUCGCAAGACUAAAACUCAAAUGAAUUGACGGGGGCCCGCACAAGCGGUGGAGCAUGUGGUUUAAUUCGAUGCAACGCGAAGAACCUUACCUGGCCUUGACAUACAGAGAACUUUCCAGAGAU